rnacentral:lncRNA from 10 species
GAAGUUAUUAUUUAAUGGUGUUUUAGUUUGCUAUGGCUACUAUAAUAAAAUACCAAAACCUGGCUAGCUUAAAUAAAAAUAGUUCAAUAAAAAUAGUUAAAAUGGUAAAAUGCAUUUUCUCAUAAUUCUGGAGAACAGAAGUCCGAUAUCAAGAUGCUAGCAGGGUUGGAUUUCUCUCUCCUUGGCUUGCAGAUGGCUGUCUUCUCCCUGUGUCUUCACAUGGUCUUUCCUCUGUGCCUGGCUGUGGCUGUGUCCAAAUCUCCUGGUUUAUUUAUUUAUUUAUUUAUUUAUUCAUUCUUGAGACGGAGUCUCGCUCUGUCGCCCAGGCUGGAGUGAAGUGGCGCGAUCUUGGCUCACUGCAACCCCGCCUCCCAGGUUCAAGCAAUUUUUCUGCCUCAGCUUCCCGAGUAGCUGAGACUACAGGCAUGUACCACCACAAUUUUUGUAUUUUUAGUAGAGAUGGGGUUUCAUCAUGUUGGCCAGGCUGGUCUUGAACUCCUGACUCAAGUGAUCUGCCCACCUCGGCCUCCCAAAGUGCUGGGAUUACAGGCAUAAGCCACUGCGACUGGCCCAAAUCUUCUGUUAUUAUAAGGAUACCAGCCAUAUGAAAUUAAGGCCCACCCCAAUGACUUUGUUUUGACCUCUUGGAAGACCAUGUCUCCAAAUACAAUUACAUUCUGUGGUACUGGGGUAUAGGACUUCAACAUAGAAAUUUUGAAGACACAGAGCAGCCAAUAGCAAAUGAGGACAGAGUUUCUGUCUGGGAUCAUGAAAAAGUUCUGAAAGGGAAUAGCUGUGAUUGUGCAACAUUGUGAAUGUACUUAAUGCCACUGAAUUGUACACUUAAAAAUAGUUAAAAUGAUAAAUUUUAUGUUAUGUUUUACCAGAUUUUUUUUCAAAGAAAAAAUCAAAAGCUAAGCAACAUCUCUUUUGGUCUCUUGAUGUGUGGAAAGUCUUAGCUUCCUGGGCUGGAGGGAAGCCCAAGGGUGAAGGGGGAACACAAAGCUGUCUUUGGUAUCUCAGUGUUGACGGCCGUCAUGUGCAGAAGAGCAGACUGUGUCCUUGUCAAAGCCCACGGAUGUGCCAGUGCAAGAGCUACCACCUGGGGUGUCAGGCAUGGAGAGGGUGGGACUUCAAGUUUGGAAACAGCACAUGCCCAAUGCAUGAAGCUGCACAGCCUGCUCCUGAAGCUAUGGCCAGCAGGAAAAGACAGGAACCCUCGCAUGCUCAGGCCAGGACUUAAGUGGCUGGAUUCCAGUCCUGUUCUGCCAGCAACAUAUUUCAUAACCUCUCCAUCGGGCAAGUCCCUUCUCUAAGAACUGAGGACUAAACUCUGAGGUUUUUUAUCUUGCCCACAUUCCUAUCUAAGUGGUCUGGGGAGUCAUGCCUUACAAACCAUAAAGUCUCAUCAGAUGGAUUUUAUUUAAAUCCAUACAUCAUGGCUUACUUUCCAAAGUGACUCUGGCAUUUAACAUUACAAGACAAUCAAAGAAAAUAAAAAUAUUUUACCCCAAAGCAUGUUUCUUUGCCAUAUCUUGAAAUGGCCCUGCAAAACUGUCAUUUGUGGGGGAAAAUUUGCAUCUGUAAAGAAUCUCUAUUAACAUAGCUAGAUGUUUUUCUUCCAGGCCCUCCCAAUCCUAAUGAGAUUAUUAAAAGUUUAGCACCUUUUAAAGGUCUGAAUAGGAAACAUUUGUCAUCUAUUGCCUCUAAGGGCAGCCACGAUGAUAAGACUUCAAAAGAACCUUGGUCUCCACAAUCUUACAAUCUUUUUUUUUUUUUGAUGAAGUCUUGCUCUGCUGCCCAGGCUGGAGUGCAGUAGCACGAUCUCGGCUCACUGUGACCUCUGCCUCCCAGGUUCAAGCAAUUCUCCUGUCUCAGCCUCUGGGACUACAGGCACCUUCCACCACACCUGGCUAAUUUUUUUGUAUUUUAAGUAGAGGUGGGUUUUCACCAUAUUGGUCAGGCUGGUCUCGAACUCCUGACCUCAGGUGAUCCACCCACCUUGGCCUCCCAAAGUGGUAGGAUUAUAGGCAUGACCCACUGCGCCUAGCCAGUCUCUACAAUCUUUUUUCUUAACCUGAACAUUCCCUUUCUAUUCAUUCCAGGUCUUUACACAAACUCAUCCAAUUGUCAGCCAGAAAAUGUUUAAAUUCGCCUACAGUCUGGAAGGCCCCCCACCCCCAACUUUGAGUUGUCCCAUCUUUCUGGACCAAACCAAUGUAUUUCUUAAAUGUAUUUGGUUGAUGUCUCAUACCUCCUUAUAAUGUAUAAAACCAAGCUGUGCCCUGACCACCUUGCACACAUGUUCUCAGGACCUCCUGAGGGCUGUGUCAUGGGCCACGGUCACUCAUAUUUGGCACAGAAUAAAUAUCUUUAAAUAUUUUACAGAACUUGACCCUUUUCGUUGACAGAACUUUAGUUUUCUCACCACCAAAUGAAGGCACUGGACCAGAUUAUUUUUGUGUCUUCUCGAAACUCCAACAUUCUAUGAGUCUACCUAAAACAUUAGCGUUCUGACAAAUGUUAGUUGAAUGAGUCAAUGUAAACAGAAGGAUUUGUGUCCCCCUUGAGAGAAAACUGGGGGAAGUCCUGGGACCCUUUUAGGGCAGGGAGGAGCUGGAUGAACCUGGGCAUCUGCCGCCCUCGCCAACAGGAGUUGUGGGAGUGCUCCCUUCCCCAGGAGGUCACAGAAAACAAGCAUGUCCAGUGUGCCAGAGGAUUCGGACUGAGAGAACUACUCUUUUCCUUUAAGUGUGAUUGUUCAUCUCAGGAUAAAAUGGGAAAGGAAUGACCAAACCAACAGAACAUAAGAAAGAAGAACUCGGAGUCCAGGAAAGUCCUGAAAAUCUCGACAAUUAGAAAGUCUUCAGUGGAGCUGGGAAACUGAAAACUUUCCAGGGGAAGCAGAAACCCAGGUUCUGUUACUUUGCUUCUGGAGACUUGAGCUUUGAUUGAUGGUAGAGAGCAGUCUUCAACCUGGGACCCAUUCCUAGUUGUUGUACUCAUAUCCUUUUCAAAAGGUGGUUUUAUAAUCAGCUACAGGACUCUGACAGGUGCUCUCGAAGGCAGGUGUUUAAUAACUUUGGAGACUGUGACACUAGAAUAGAGGAAAAACUUCCAAGACUCUCAUAGACAGAUAUAAAGAAACUGCUUUAAGGGAUCAGAGUUGACUUAGAAAGCCAAUAAAAGCCCCUUUGGAAAGCUGGCCUCCUACCUUGUCUACCCAGUUCUUGUACAGGUUUCUGACCUGUGCUGUGCCUUCUUAAAGGCUGGAGCCUGGAGCACAUGAGGAGAAUUCACAGAAGUGCCUGGAAAGGGAACUGCGGUGGAUCUUACAGAGACUUGAAACAUGUGGAGAAGUUUGGCUUUUAUUCAUAAAGGACAAAGUGCUGCCUCCACCUCCCCACCUGUCUAGUUUUAUUCAGUGAUGUCUAUCCUCAUGACUUGGGCCAUUUUCAUCAUCACGUCUAUUUGGUUACCUAGGUCUGCCGUUUUUUGUUUUUGUUUUUUCCCAAAUGCUUUCCACAUAAGAUGGCCUAGGUGUCAAUUGCUUAUCUCAGUGGAAUCAUUUCUACUCACCUAUAAAAUGGGAGUAAUAAAAAUGCUAUGUAUCCGAUUGUUGUGAGGAUGAAAUGGGAAUACUUGGACAUGGGGCCUGGUUGCUGGUGGAGGCAUCUGCUCUGUUCCCUGCUGCAUCCCUCACUUCCUGCCAUCCUCUUGCCCCACUUCUGCAGUGCUGAGUGACAGGCCCACAGCCUCCAUGCCCUCCUGUUCCUUCCUUCUCUGCUGAUCUUUUCUGUUUCCAGACACAUCUGCCACUACUGUCUGGUCCAAACACUCUUUCACCUAGGAAGUUUAAGCACGUUGUUGAACUAGAAAUAAUGUAUUCACUCAGUUACUUAUACACACAUUCUUUUCCCACUCAUUAAAAGUGGUUUGAAAAAUUUAUUUCAUUGUUCUUAAAGUGCUGAAUCAAGUGUUUUUCCUUUGGUUGGGAAAGGCCUUUGCCGUUUACCUUCAUCCACUCAUUCAUUUGUGAAGAUGUGUGUGCAGGCCCUAUGGUGACAGUGUCUGUCUAAAGUGAAGAGCUCAGCACCCAAACUCUAGAACAUCUGAAAACGUAGCUAGAUCCUGUGUUCUCUUCUCUAACAGAGUUAAAGUUAAGGUGCAUUUACUCAGUGCCUAGGGGGUAAAAAUGUGCGGUUCAGACUUCAACCAUGUGGGUGCUGUUUUUACCCAGAAUACCAACUGAUUCCAGGAAAGAGUAUUAGGAGAUUCAAGAUUUCUAUUUCUUUUGAACAUAUGUUAUUAGAGUUAAUUGUUAGGAAACUAUUUUAAAGAUAAUUAUUUGAAUACUGAAAAUGACUUUGAUUUCUAACAGGAAGCCAGGCUCACUUGUUACUUCCACAUAUGUGAUGAAGGCAAAAGACCACAGUUGCAUACAUUUGCAUAGUUAUCCUCGAGACUGGAAAUGUCAGUAAGAUGCAAUUGAUUGACUUGCUGAUUGUCUUUCCUCAUGUGAGCGUCUUUUCCAUGUUCAUGACCCACCACUGAUAUUCUGUGGAACUGAACUAAAACUAUGGUCCCCGAAGCCUUGUUGGGGGUGUGGAGGAAGGC